rnacentral:rRNA from 1 species
UACGGAGGAUGCAAGCGUUAUCCGGAUUUAUUGGGUUUAAAGGGUGCGUAGGCGGUCCGGUAAGCGGGAUGUGAAAAGCAACGGCUCAACCGUUGUCGUGCAUCCCGAACUGUCGGACUGGAAUACUCCUGCCGUGGGAGGAAUGGGUAGUGUAGCGGUGAAAUGCAUAGAUAUUACCCAGAACACCGAUUGCGAAGGCAUCUCACGAAGGGGCGAUUGACGCUGAGGCACGAAAGCGUGGGGAUCGAAC